rnacentral:rRNA from 1 species
CCUACGGGUGGCAGCAGUGAGGAAUAUUGGUCAAUGGACGCAAGUCUGAACCAGCCAUGCCGCGUGCAGGAAGACGGCUCUAUGAGUUGUAAACUGCUUUUGUACGAGGGUAAACGCAGAUACGCGUAUCUGUCUGAAAGUAUCGUACGAAUAAGGAUCGGCUAACUCCGUGCCAGCAGCCGCGGUAAUACGUAGGUGGCAAGCGUUGUCCGGAUUUACUGGGUGUAAAGGGCGUGUAGCCGGGCUGAUAAGUCAGAUGUGAAAUCCGGGGGCUCAACCCCCGAACUGCCUUUGAAACUGUUCGUCUUGAGAGUCGGAGAGGCAGGCGGAAUUCCUAGUGUAGCGGUGAAAUGCGUAGAUAUUAGGAGGAACACCGAUGGCGAAGGCAGCCUACUGGACGACAACUGACGGUGAGGCACGAAAGCGUGGGGAGCAAACAGGAUUAGAUACCCCAGUAGUC